GACGAACGCUGGCGGCGUGCUUAACACAUGCAAGUCGAACGGAAAGGCCCUGCUUUUGUGGGGUGCUCGAGUGGCGAACGGGUGAGUAACACGUGAGUAACCUGCCCUUGACUUUGGGAUAACUUCAGGAAACUGGGGCUAAUACCGGAUAGGAGCUCCUGCUGCAUGGUGGGGGUUGGAAAGUUUCGGCGGUUGGGGAUGGACUCGCGGCUUAUCAGCUUGUUGGUGGGGUAGUGGCUUACCAAGGCUUUGACGGGUAGCCGGCCUGAGAGGGUGACCGGCCCCUUGGGGGUGGGAGACGGGCCAGAGUCCUUCGGGGGGGAGGAGGGGGGGAUAUUGGACAAUGGGGGGAAGCCUGAUGGAGCAACGCCGCGGGGGGGAUGACGGCCUUCGGGUUGUAAACCGCUUUCGCCUGUGACGAAGCGUGAGUGACGGUAAUGGGUAAAGAAGCACCGGCUAACUACGUG
rnacentral:rRNA from 1 species